rnacentral:misc_RNA from 1 species
AAGUCGUAACAAGGUUUCCGUAGGUGAACCUGCGGAAGGAUCAUUAACACGUAUCCACGUUUAAUAUAAAACUUUAUCAACAAACUCGACGAACUGAACUCCCUGCUGAAUAAAACUGCGGUGUCGUAAUCCUGUCUUGAUGGGUCCCAGUAAACAUGUAGUUGUCAUAGACUUGUGUUAAGCUGAAGGCUGGCAGGCAUCGACUAUCACACUUCGACUGUGAGCCAAAACAUUUUCAGCAGGCUUACUGACUCUAUUCUCGCGUGUAGAUGCUACAAUCCUUACCAUCAUAAGGCCGAGUUUAGAACCCCAUAACCAAUUUCACCAUUCUUUACCUAUUUGACUAAUUUCUAUAUUCUUAGGAGAAAUCCUUUGAAUUACUAAGAUUUAUCUUAACUAAGCACAACUCUUAGCAAUGGAUAUCUUGGUUCUC